GAUUAUGGCUCACCAUCCAACGCUAGUGGCAGGCCUAAUACAUGCAAGUCGAACGGAUCAGGUUCCUUCGGGGACUUGGUUAGUGGCGCACGGGUGCGUAACGCGUAUGCAACCUACCUUCCACUGGGGGAUAGCCCACCGAAAGGUGGAUUAAUACCGCAUAUGACCACAGGAGGGCAUCCGAUUGUGGUGAAAGCUUCGGCGGUGGAAGAUGGGCAUGCGUGCCAUUAGCUAGAUGGCGGGGUAACGGCCCACCAUGGCGACGAUGGCUAGGGGUUCUGAGAGGAUGGUCCCCCACACUGGUACUGAGACACGGACCACACUCCUACGGGAGGCAGCAGUAGGGAAUAUUGGGCAAUGGCCGAGAGGCUGACCCAGCCAUGCCGCGUGCAGGAAGAAGGCCUUCUGGGUUGUAAACUGCUUUUACCUGGGAAGAAAACGCCCCUGCGGGGGUAACUGACGGUACCCAGGUGAAUAAGCCCCCGGCUAACUCCGUGCCAGCA
rnacentral:rRNA from 1 species